rnacentral:rRNA from 1 species
GAUGAACGCUGGCGGCGUGCCUAAUACAUGCAAGUCGAGCGAACAGACGAGGAGCUUGCUCCUCUGACGUUAGCGGCGGACGGGUGAGUAACACGUGGAUAACCUACCUAUAAGACUGGGAUAACUUCGGGAAACCGGAGCUAAUACCGGAUAAUAUAUUGAACCGCAUGGUUCAAUAGUGAAAGACGGUUUUGCUGUCACUUAUAGAUGGAUCCGCGCCGCAUUAGCUAGUUGGUAAGGUAACGGCUUACCAAGGCGACGAUGCGUAGCCGACCUGAGAGGGUGAUAGGCCACACUGGAACUGAGACACGGUCCAGACUCCUACGGGAGGCAGCAGUAGGGAAUCUUCCGCAGUGGGCGAAAGCCUGACGGAGCAACGCCGCGGGAGUGAUGAAGGUCUUCGGAUCGUAAAACUCUGUUAUUAGGGAAGAGCAAAUGUGUAAGUAACUAUGCACGUCUUAACGGUACCUAAACAGAAAGCCACGGCUAACUACGU